rnacentral:rRNA from 1 species
GGAAGUAAAAGUCGUAACAAGGUCUCCGUUGGUGAACCAGCGGAGGGAUCAUUACUGAGUUACCGCUCUAUAACCCUUUGUGAACGUACCUAACCGUUGCUUCGGCGGGCAGGGGAAGCCUCUCGCGGGCCUCCCCUCCCGGCGCCGGCCCCCACCACGGGGACGGGGCGCCCGCCGGAGGAAACCAAACUCUAUUUACACGACGUCUCUUCUGAGUGGCACAAGCAAAUAAUUAAAACUUUUAACAACGGAUCUCUUGGUUCUGGCAUCGAUGAAGAACGCAGCGAAAUGCGAUAAGUAAUGUGAAUUGCAGAAUUCAGUGAAUCAUCGAAUCUUUGAACGCACAUUGCGCUCGCCAGCAUUCUGGCGAGCAUGCCUGUUCGAGCGUCAUUUCAACCCUCAAGCACCGCUUGGUUUUGGGGCCCCACGGCCGACGUGGGCCCUUAAAGGUAGUGGCGGACCCUCCCGGAGCCUCCUUUGCGUAGUAACUAACGUCUCGCACUGGGAUCCGGAGGGACUCUUGCCGUUAAACCCCCAAAUUCUUUACAGGUUGACCUCGGAUCAGGUAGGAAUACCCGCUGAACUUAAGCAUAUCAAUAAGCGGAGGA